rnacentral:lncRNA from 1 species
UUAAUUAUACAUGCAGCACAAUAUCUCAAUUCUGAAGCAUAUCGGGUGCAUGCAUGGGGCCUAUAUCAUGGGGUGUGAAGAGGAAGAAGAGUCAAAAUAUAUAAAAGUUGUGCCCACUAAUGAAUGUGUAUGUAGUAAGUAGUAGGGGUUGGGUUACAGAGUGAGAUAGCUAAGCUAGCUAUAGUCUUUUGAUUCUUUUGCAGCAAAUAUGUACAAACAAAGAGAGAGAGACCCACCACCACAUCCCCCACACCUUGAUGUUGUUUCCUCAUUACCUCUCACGAGUCCCUUUUUAUUUGCCUUCUUUUCUCUCUCACUGGCUCUCUCUGUCUAUCUGCUCUCACUGCUUCUUCUUGUGACUGCCAUUAUCAUCAUCAUCAGAAAACGGAAGCCAAUGCACACUAACACACCACUGCCUCAUAAAUUAUAGCACCA